GACGAACGCUGGCGGCGUGCUUAACACAUGCAAGUCGAGCGGUAAGGCCCUUUCGGGGGUACACGAGCGGCGAACGGGUGAGUAACACGUGGGUGACCUGCCCUCAGCUCUGGGGAUAAGCCUGGGAAACUGGGUCUAAUACCGGAUAUGACUCCAUGACGCAUGUUGUGGGGUGGAAAGCCUUGUGCGGCUGAGGAUGGGCCCGCGGCCUAUCAGCUUGUUGGGGGGUGGAUGGCCUACCAAGGCGACGACGGGUAGCCGGCCUGAGAGGGCGGACCGGCCACACUGGGACUGAGACACGGCCCAGACUCCUACGGGAGGCAGCAGUGGGGAAUCUUGCGCAAUGGGCGAAAGCCUGACGCAGCGACGCCGCGUGAGGGAUGACGGCCUGGU
rnacentral:rRNA from 1 species